rnacentral:lncRNA from 13 species
AUAAAAAAUAAAAUAAAAUAAAAUAAAGAAUAAAAAAUAGGAAGAUAUUUAAAAAUUAGAUAUCUUAUAAAACAUUUAAAAGUAUAUAAAACGAUUAAUAAAAACAGGUAAGGCCGGGCGCGGUGGCUCAAGCCUGUAAUCCCAGCACUUUGGGAGGCCGAGGCGGGUGGAUCAUGAGAGAUUGAGACCAUCCUGGUCAACAUGGUGAAACCCCGUCUCUACUAAAAAUACAAAAAAAUUAGCUGGGCAUGGUGGCGCGUGCCUGUAAUCCCAGCUACUCAGGAGGCUGAGGCAGGAGAAUUGCCUGAACCCAGGAGGCGGAGGUUGCGGUGAGCCGAGAUCGCGCCAUUGCACUCCAGCCUGGGUAACAAGAGCGAAACUCCGUCUCAAAAAAAAAAAAAAAAAAAAAAAAAAAAAAAAAAAAAAAAAAAAAAAAAAAAAGAAAAAAAAAGUUGGAACAGGUGCUAAGAACCCUGCUUAUUUUUCCAAGACUGAAGAGAACAGAACACAGUGAACAGGCUUGUACAGACUCAGAGGCCCAGCUAUGAAGUGCAGAAGAUCACCUAUCCUCAUGCACCCUGGUGACAAGGAAGGGCUCUUACCUACAGAAGUA